GCCUCAGCCCACAGCUGUUUCUCCGGCGAGCGGAGCGCGGCGGAGCCCGACGAGAUUGACGGCGCGGGGGCGCGACAAUGCAAAACCCUCGCCCCUCCUACGCGCACCACCAGCUGCAGCAGCACCUCUCCUCCCUCCUCUCCGCGGCCGCCGGCGAGCCCCCGCACCCCUCCGAUGACGCCUCCCGCACCGCCGCCCUCUCCAACCUCCGCCUCUCCUUCCUCCACCCGCCCAACCGGCCCCUCCUCCCCGCCCUCGCCCCCUUCCUCGCCCCGCCCCUCUCGGUCCUCCUCGCCGACGAUGCGUCCUACGCCGUGCGACGCGCGGCGGUGUCGGCGUACGCGACGCUCUGCGCGGUGCUGUGCUCGCACGAGGCGCCCGGGGGCCUUCCGGACGGGUUCGUCGCCUGGGCGCUGCCGCUCCUGGGGGACCCCUCCUCAGCCGCGCUCGUCGCCGAAGGGCUCCGGGAGCUCCUGGCCACCGGGGACGUGGCCCCGGUCGAGCGGUUCGUGCCGCCUCUCCUUGCCGCCUGCCGUGACGUGCUCGAGGAUGAGCGGACGUCUCUCUCCGUGCUCCGGUGUCUGCUCGGCCUGCUUAUGCUGAUUGCCGCCAAGUUCCCCCACUGCUUCCGUCCGCAGUUUGUUGAUAUCAUGGACCUGCUCCUUGGGUGGGCGUUUGUGCCGGACCUUGCUGAUGCCGAUCGCAGCAUGAUUAUGGAUAGCUUUUUGCAAUUUCAGUGGCAUUGGCUUGGGAAUCUACAGUUCUCGCUUGGGUUGCUUCCCAAGUUCUUGGCCGACAUGGAGGUGCUUGUGCACGAUCCCAACCUUGCAGCCAGCCAUAAUUCCGGGCGGCUUCGUCCUCUGUUUGCUUGCUUCUCUACAGUACUGCAGAUCAUGGCGUCUGGUGUGGCUGAGCGAAAUAACCUAAGGGAACUUGUAGCUGGGCCACUAGAAGGGUUAGCUCCUCAGCUUUUAAGGUGUGCAUCAGUGAUAGCCUCAAAGCUUGGCUGGUCUGAGAGGAUGGAAGAAGCAUCCAGAUGCUUGGUCUUGCUUGCCGAGAUUCUGCAGGAAAGGUUUGCUGAAUUUUAUGUCCUUUUUGUGGAUGUGUUAGCCCAGAGCUUGGAAGUUGCCUCCUCAGCACAGUUGGUGGCAGCACUUAAGACUAACCUGCAAGUUCUGUUGCUGCAAAAUUUGGGUCUCCGAGCAUCUUCUGUGGGAGCUUUGCUUGACUUCAGUUCAAUUUUGCCUAAGUUGCGUCUUCAUCCAAACCACACCGUGGUUGCAAACUCAGCAGCUACAUACCUUUUUUGCCUACAACAUGGAUCGGAAGAUGUAGUUGAUCAAGCAACUGCAUCGUUGAUGAAAGAAUUAGAGCUGAUAAAAUCUCUGCUUGAGGAAGGGCUAGUAAGUUACCCUGAUAUCCAGAGUCUCUCCUUAGAGCCUAACAAUGAAAGGAAGAGCAAGUCGAACUCAGUUGCACAUUCUUGGGCACAAUAUUCAGAGGAUCAGUUGCUUUCACUAAUGAAAUUUGAUCUGAAGAUUCUUCUGGCCACGAUUGCACUUGAUACAAAAAAGAGAAAUGAGAGAGCAACUAGCUUGACAUCUUUCAUCUCAGAGAAGCUUGACCCAUUUGGUACCCCUUUCCAUAAUUUCCUUGAGAUGCAGUUUCAGAUUUUCUCUACACUACACAAACUGAGCAACAUGGAACUCUCAAGUAUUAUGCCAACAUCUGAAUCAUUUGAAAGAGGCUCUGGAGGUAGUAAAAUUCAGCUGAUUUCUUGUGAGUGUAAAAAGAAGUUUGUGCCUAAAUAUGGCAAAUACAUAGUUCAGGGUCUUAACGCAUCAUCAUCCAUGACACUGAAAUUAGAGGCUCUAGAUUGGAUAGCUUCAUUUGAAAAUUUGAUUCGUGGAAUGGAGAGGGAUGUGGAUAAGUUUAGUUUCUCUUAUGAGGUCAUUGGGGAUGCUACACUUUCGAAUGGUAUCCUUUUCACUGUCUUGGAUUGCGCAUAUGAUAGGGAGCCUAAAGUGAGAUGCCAUGUGGCAUUAACCUUGGAGUUACUAUUCCUGGGUAGGCUCAUCAAUCCACUGAACUUCUCGGUUGUCGCUCAGGUUCUGCUUGACAAGCUUAGUGAUCCAGAUAGUAAUGUAAAGGAUGCAUUUCUAAGGUUAUUUUCAAUCGCUUUGCCUAUCACAACAUAUGUGUUUGGCUUGCUUGUGGACAAGCACAGUUAUCUGAAUUCCUCAGAUAUUGCUAACAUGUCCAACCAUUGCAUGAACUGGAGGCAUGUGCUUGCUGUGAAGCAACAACCUAGGAAGCUCCAUUGGCAGCAGCUUGUUUCUAUUUUGAGCUACCUCUCACUCAGAUUGAAGUUACCUCUUUCAUCUUGGGUGCAGCGGCUGGUCUUUAGUUACCGUGGCAAGAAAGAUAUGCUUUCUGGUCAUACUGAUAUGUCUGGAGAUGCUGAUGGGAAUGAACACCCCAAAGGUCCUGGCGUGGACAGAGCUACUAUUGAUAGGAUAUACUCCGUGAACAAUCAUGCUGCGGUUUGGUGGGGGAUCCAUGAAGCUGCCAGACAUUGCAUUAACCUUCGGCUUCGAACUCAUCUAGGUGGUCCUACUCAGACAUUUGCAGCCCUAGAACGCAUGCUUUUGGAUGUAACAAAUGUAUUAACGCCGGAAGCUAAGGAAGGUGAAGGCAGGUAUACAGGGCCAGCUGACAUUUCCUUAUUGCCAAUGCGUCUGCUAUUGGAUUUUGUUGAGGCAUUGAAAAAAUAUGCUUACAAUGCAUAUGAAGGUUCCUUUGUUCUAUCACCCCCACCGAAAGCAAGUUCUGUGUUUUUCCGCGCAAACAAACGAGUUUGUGAAGAGUGGUUUUCGCGAAUUCGUGAUCCAAUGUUGAAUGCAGGAUUAGCUAUGCACUGCAGUGAUGCAGUCGUUCACUACUGUUCAUUGCGGCUGGUAGAUCUCAGAAACCUGGCUGUAUCAUCCCUCCGAGGCAACAGUCACACAGGAGGGGCUACUGAAAGUCACCAUGGUUUUAGAGAGAGGUUAGAAGCAGAUGUUCUGAAGGUCCUCCGGCAUGCUUCCUUGUCACUUUGCAGAUGUCAUGAAAUAGAUGCCUUAGUUGGACUUCAGAAGUGGGCUGUAUCAACAUUCUACACUUACUUUGAGCAAGACAAUCAACUAGUGCGGGGUGUAUCUGAUUGCGACAAGUACUUCUCGUGGAUGUCAGGAUUGAUCUAUCAAUCCCAGGGGCAGUAUGAAAAGGCUGCUGCACAUUACUCCCAUCUACUUCAGUCAGAGGAAGCCCUUACCUACAUGAAGUCUGAUGGCAUUCAGUACAUCAUAGAGCGCGUAAUUGAGUGCUACACAUCCCUUUCAGAUUGGAAAUGUUUAGAGAGCUGGCUUGCAGAGUUACAAGUGCUCCGUGCUGUACACGCUGGCAAACCUUAUUCAGGUGCUCUAACUAGUGCUGGCAACGAACUUAAUGCUAUUCAUGCGAUGGCAUGCUUUGACGAGGGGGACUUUCAUUCAGCUUGGGGUUAUCUUGACCUGACUCCGAAAAGCAGCAGCGAGCUCACCCUUGAUCCCAAGGUUGCAAUUGAGAGAAGUGAACUUAUGCUCUUGCGUGGAAUGCUUCGAUCUAAUAGCAAGUUGGAGGGCAUAAAAGAGGAGCUUGAUAAGGCUAAAUUGAUGUUGGAUGAAGCUCUCUCUGUUCUCCCACUCAAUGGGUUGCCUGAAGCUGCUGCUUGUGCUGGCCAGCUUCAUUGCAUUUUUGCAUUUGAGGAAGCUUCGGGAUUGACCUACCGAAAUGGACCUAAUCAAUCACAAUCAAUAAUGGAUUCUUUACAGAAACUCCUUCAUGAUCCCGUCGAUAGAAUGCAUCAAGAUUGCAGCAUGUGGCUAAAGCUCUUCAAAGUGUACCGUGAUACACAGCCAUCUUCUUUAUCCACUCUUCUUCUCUGUCAGAAGCUCGCAAGUCUUGCUAGAAAGCAGGGCAAUUUUAUGUUGGCUACCCGUUUAAACCAGUACCUCAUAAAUCAUCCUUUGAAGUCAUCUGAUGAGAUGGACAAGGAAGUAUUUGAAUUGAACAUUAAGUAUGAAGGCGCCUUGCUGAAGCGUGAAAAGGGAAAUAAUGAAGAAGCUCUAUCUGAUAUGUGGUCACUGGUUCGUGCUAGCGUUCAGUCUACCAUUAAUUGUUCAUCUGACAUUGGCACUUCACGUUCAGUGAUUGCUAGGGCUUGUUUGAAACUCUCAACCUGGAUGGAGCAAGAAAACUCAACUCCUAUCUUAAAUACGAUAAUUCCAAAGGUAAUAGAAGAUUUCAGUCAUUCUGAUGGCAUUCAAAAUGGGACACAGAAACUUUUGUUUGGUGAUAGUGUGUCUGUUUCAACUUUGAAUUAUCAUGCUCUUGCCCAAGAAAUCAUAGGCACUGCUCGGAAGAUAUCCUGGCAACUUUGCCCCAGCAUGGGUAAAGCUUGGCUUGCAUAUGCAUACUGGUGCUUCACUCAUGCCAGUUAUUCUCUGUCUGGAAAAGAUUCAAAUUUGCAGAAUUCACUGUCCCCUGUUCUUCAGCCUGAACUUUCCCCAGAUAGAUAUCACUUGACAGAUGAGGAGAAGUCAGAGGUGGAGGAAAUAAUCAGGAGUAUCUGUGCUGAUAAACAUGCAAAUCAUGUGGGGUGCGAUUAUCCAGUGACAGCAGACCCCGUAACUUUACUUAUUGAACAGGCAAUUCAUAUGAUAGAAACUGCAGCUGGAGCACCAGGCUUUGAGGCCCGUGAAGGUGAAGAUCCACCUGCAGUUCUAGCAUCAGAACUAACAGUUCUUUGUAAAUGUGAUUGUGCAAAGGAUAAGGCACCUCUGAUUGACAAGCUUAUUGAAAUUUGGUGGUCUUUAAGGAAAAGGAGGGUAUCGCUCUUUGGGCACGCAGCACAUGCUUAUUUUCAGUAUCUUCAAAAUUCAUCAACUGAGCUUCAAUCUUCGUAUCACCUUGAUGCUUUGAAAGGGAAGACAAGAAGCUACACUAUGCGUGCAAUGCUCUAUCUCCUUCACAUAAUGUUGAACUAUGGGGUGGAACUGAAGGAAACACUUGAAAGCGGGGUUUCUGCAGUUCCUUUAUUGCCAUGGCAGGAGAUUAUACCUCAACUUUUUGCACGCUUGAGUUCCCACCCAGAGAAGAUAGUAAGGGAACUUUUAGAGAGUAUAUUGCUGAAGCUUGGAAAACUUUCUCCUUGUUCUAUUGUAUAUCCUACAUUGGUUGAUAUCAAUGCUUGUGAAGGAGAACCCUCCGAGGAGCUUCAGCGCAUAUCGGACUUUCUGGUUAAGCUAUACCCCAAUUUAAUCAAAGAUGUUAAGCUUGCAAUUGAGGAGCUAGGUAUGAUUACUGUUCUUUGGGAGGAACAAUGGCUGAGCACUUUACAGGAUCUCCGUUCAGAUGUUUUAAGGAGAAUCAAUAUACUUAAAGAGGAAGCUGCAAGGGUUGCUGCAAAUUCUACACUGAGUUCAUCAGAAAAGAACAAGAUAAAUGCUGCAAAAUUUUCUGCUGUGAUGACUCCAAUCAUUGUAGCCUUGGAACGUCGUCUGGCAUCUACAUCUCGUGAACCAAAAACAUCUCAUGAGAUGUGGUUCCAUAAGGAAUAUAAUGGUAAGCUGAAACAUGCAAUUGCAACCCUUAAGACGCCCCCUGGAUCUCUGACAACAUUAGGAGAGAUUUGGCAGCCUUUUGAUUCAAUUGCUGCUUCUUUAGCCACGCAUCAAAGAAAGUCAUGCAUAUCGUUAAGUGAAAUUGCUCCACAUCUGGCUGCUUUGUCUACCUCUGACAUUCCAAUGCCUGGUUUUGAGAAACAGAUACUUGAUUCCUUAGAAUCUUUUGCUGGAAACCAUGGCACUGUAACUGUAUCUUCCUUCUGCAAAGAGGUGACAAUACUCUCAACAAAGACAAGACCUAAGAAGCUCAUCUUGCAAGGAUCAGAUGGUCAGAGGUAUACUUACCUUCUCAAGGGCCGGGAAGAUCUACGCCUUGAUUCUAGGAUAAUGCAGUUGUUGGAAGCGAUAAAUAGCUUGUUGUACUCAUCUUCUGACACUCGAAGUAGAAAUAUUGCUCUACGUUUCUAUUCUGUUACACCAGUUAGUGGACGAGCUGGACUGAUCCAGUGGGUGGAAAAUGUAAGUAGCAUAUACACUGUGUACAAAUCGUGGCAAAAGCGUUCGCAGUUGGCACAGGCAGAGGCACAGCUAUCUUCAGUUAGUACUGUUAACAUUCACAACCCUGUUCCACCUGUUCCCCGUCCAAGUGAUAUGUUCUAUGGAAAAAUUAUACCAGCACUUAAAGAAAAAGGGAUCAAAAGGGUAGUAUCACGAAGAGAUUGGCCACUAGAUGUUAAAAAAAAAGUUCUAUUGGAGCUUAUGAAUGAGACUCCAAAACAGAUUCUGUGGCAAGAAAUGUGGUGUGCAAGCGAAGGUUUCAGAAACUUUAACUCCAAAGUAAAGAGAUUCUCUAGCAGUGUAGCAGCCAUGAGCAUGGUUGGCCAUAUGCUGGGUCUAGGAGAUAGACAUCUGGACAACAUUCUUAUGGAUUUCAGCAAUGGUGAUGUAGUUCAUAUAGAUUACAACAUAUGUUUUGAUAAAGGGAAAAGGCUGAAGAUUCCAGAAAUUGUUCCAUUCCGUCUCACUCAAACUAUUGAAUCAGCUUUAGGAUUGACUGGUGUGGAAGGUGUUUUUAGAGUUUCUUGUGAGGAAGUUAUGAAUGUCCUCUUGAAGAAUAAAGAUAUCAUCUUGAUGUUGUUGGAAGUAUUUGUUUGGGACCCAUUGAUUGAGUGGACACGAGGAAAUAUCCAAGAUGAAGCAGGAAUUGCUGGUGAAGAGAAGAAAGGGAUGGAAUUAGCAGUUAGUUUGAGCUUGUUCUCUUCAAGAAUUCAAGAAAUCCGUGUUCCUUUGCAGGAGCAUAAGGAUAUUUUCUUAACUAAUUUGCCAGCCACAGUGUCUGCUCUAAAGAAAUUCUUGGAUACUUUAGAUCACUACGAGGUUGCAUCAGCUAUAUUUUAUCAUGCUGAGAAAGAGAGAUCAAGUGUUUUGCAGAAUGAAAUGUUGGCUAAGUCAGUCCUAGCUGAUGCUACUUCAGUUGCUGAUAAAUCUCGCAGUUCAUUUGAAAUUCAGGCUCACGAGUUAGCAGAAGCAAAAGCUGCAGCAGUUGAUGAAGCUAACAAGCUUAAAAUAUGGGUGGAAAAACAUGCAAGAGUUCUUGAGGCUAUACAGGAUAACUCUGUUGCGUGCGUUGAGUCAUGCAUGCAAUUGAAUUGUAAGGACGAGGCGUUGAGCCUUAUUUCAGCUGUCCAAGAAUCAGGAGUUCCACUUACAGUUGUACCAGAGCCAACAAGAGCACAGUGCUCUGAGUUGGAUAGAGAGGUUUCUCAAUUAAUAUCGGAGUUACAGGGUGGGCUUUCCUCUGCUUUAGACUCACUUGGUGAAUAUUCCUUAGUGUUGCAACAAGUUCUUCCGGUGAACUACAUCACAACCAGUCCAAUUUCUAGCUGGGCGCAAGUUUUGCAGCUAUCUGCAAGAAGUACAUCACAAGAUAUGCUUUCCCUUGCCAAAAGACAGGCUGCAGAAGUCAUUGCUAAGGUUCAAGGUGAAGGCAUUCAUCUAAUGCAGCAAAGAUAUCGGGAUCUCUUAAAUCAGAUGGAAAGUUACUUUACAUGCGUGGAAAGACUUGCAAGGGAAUGUUCUGAACUGAUGAAUUCUAUUGGAUUGGAUAAUGAAGUGCAAUCCAAAGAGCGGAUACUUUCUGCAUUCAUGAACUCUAUUCAAUUGCCUUCACAAAAGAAGGAUGGCGUUGAUACUCAUUUGUCACAUAAAGAAAGUCUUAGGCAGGGUGAGAACCAAACUCCAGCCAAGGGCGAUGUACAAGAGACAACAAGUAAGGUGCUUUCUAUUCUUGGGAUUGCCGUGGGCCAGCUAUAUAAUGAUAUUAGAGCCAAAGUGUCUGACCUCUCAACUAAAGCUAAUGGGAAAACUAAAUUUAGGGCAGAUGAUUCUGGUCUUCAGGCUGAUGCUGGAAUGGGCUUGCAAUUUUUUGAACAGCACAUAGAAAAAUGUGCAUUGAUAUCUGGAGUUGUUGAUGAAGUGCAUGAAGUUAUUGGGAAGACCUUAGCUGAAACGAGUGAUGCUUAUGCAAAGCCCCACCCUAGGCACUGGGCUUCUACCUUUCAGGCCGCUUUGCACUCAAGUGUCAACAUGAUUGAACAAAUGACUGAAGCUUUUCUUCCAGAAUUUAUAAGAUCAUUUGUUUCACACAAUUCAGAGGUAAUGGAAGCUGUUGGUUCAAUUUCUAAGAUACGUGGUUCUGUUGAUAAAGCUCUAGAGAAGCUGGUUGAAAUAGAACUUGAGAGAGCAUCUCUUACCGAAUUGGAACAGAGCUACUCUGUAAGAGUUGGCCAAAUUACUGAGCAGCAAAUAGCUCUUGAAGAAGCUGCUGCAAGAGGCAGAGAACAUCUAUCUUGGGAAGAAGCAGAGGAGCUAGCUUCGCAGGAGGAAAUCUGUAGGGCACAAUUGGAACAACUACAUGAAACAUGGAGCCAGAAAGAUAUGCGUAUUUCAUCACUUAUGAAAGUAGAAGACAGUGUCAUCAAUUCGUUGCUUUCUUCUAAACAGUACUUCUCAUCUCUGCUGGAUCAUGAUCAUGAAAAUGAAUUUCAUUUUAGACAAAGCAAGGCCCUCCUUUCAAUCUUGACAAAGCCCUUUGCUGGCCUGGAAUCGCUUGAUCAUAUGUUUCCUUCUCAAAUAGAUAGACCCAUUUCAAAUAUGAAAGAUGCUUUGUCUUUGGGUCCUUCAUUGUCUGAUUUGGUGUGGCCUUUAGUUGGCAUAUUGAAGGAUCAUGCUUUUUUUGUUUGGGAACUCAAUCUUCUGGAUUCAAUCUUUGAUAUGUGCAUGCAUGAGAUUUCAUCUUCAGUUGAGCAUAGUAUUAACGCCAAUCAACUUUACUUGACUCUUAAAAAGAAGCUUGCAGCCCAUGUGGAAAAACAAGUGUUCAGGUAUAUUACAGAAAGGAUUGCUCCUUCACUCAUCCUAAGUUUAGAUGAAGAAAUUAGUGUUUUACUGCAGCUGAGUCAAGGAAGAAUAGAAUCAGAUCAACCAAAAAGAGAUUCUGCUGCUGUUGGAAGGGUUGCAUUAAUGCUUGAGGAGUAUUGUAAUGCUCAUGAGACAGCUAGAGCUGCCCGGACUACAGUUUCGCUAAUGAAAAAGCAAUUGAAUGAGCUCACAGAGGCUCUGCGCAAAAUUAUUUUGGAAACAGUUCAGGUUGAAUGGUUGCAUGAUCUUUCAUCACCCCAUGCGCAGAAGGCAAAGGUUUUAUCACAAAAUAUUCUUGGCAAUGAUAAGUUCAUGUCUUUGAUUUUAAAUCUGAGCAGAAAUAACUUGUUAGAUAAGAUUCAGUCUUCGGUCUCAUUGAUAACAAGGUCAAUUGAAAUCCUGCAAGCUUGUGAAAGCAUUUCUGUUUCAGCUGAAGGACAACUUGAGAGAGCGAUGGGAUGGGCCUGUGCUGGUCCAAAUACUUCCAGUGGAGGUGGUUCAACUGCAAAGGGUUCAGGAAUCCCCCCUGAAUUUCAUGGUCAUCUUUUGAAAAGGAGGAAAUUACUUCGAGUGGUUCAAGAAGAGGCAUCUGAUCUUGUUAAGUUGUGCACAUCUGUUUUGGAGUUUGAAGCAUCCAGAGAGGGACUUUACUUCAUUCCCGAGGAUAAAACUUCCGAACAAUCUAUGGACAAAGGCAGGGCCUGGCAGCAAACUUUCUUGAAUCUCCUGACACGUCUAGACGCAGCAUAUCAUUCCUUUACAUGUGCAGAACAGGAGUGGAAACUUGGCCAACUCAACCUGGAAGCUGCUGGAAAAGGCUUGUUUUCAGCAAAUAACCAGGUUUCUAUAGUCUCUGUAAAAGCAAAAUCUGCUCUAGUUAAUCUACAGGAUGCUCUUGUAGCCAUGUAUGAACAUGCUUGUGAAGUAAGUGCAUUGCUAUCUGGAUUCAAACAUGUCUCGCAGGAUCGCUCUGCUUUGACUUCUGAAUGUGGUUCCUUGCUCGAUGAGGUUUUGGCUAUAGCAGAUGGGUUGCAUGAUGUGUACACUCUGGGGAAGGAAGCUGCUGCAGUGCACAGUUCCCUUAUGACCAAUCUUUCCAAGGCAAAUGCAAUUUUAUUUCCACUUGAAGCCUGUCUAUCUGCUGAUGUAACUGUUAUGUCUGAAGCGAUUUCAAAGGAAAGAGAGAAGAACAAUGGCAGCAUGCCUCUUAUUCACGGAAAGGCAUUAUACCAAUCUUAUAACACUAAAAUUAGGGAAGCUUGUAAAAAUAUAGAACCACUGUUCGGUCCGCUUACUGAUAAUGUGGAGGGACUGCAUUCCAUGGUAAUGAAGCUUGGACACCUUUCAAGUCUUCAUGCUGGGAAUCUUCAUAAGGCUCUAGAAGUUCCAGGAGAAAGGGAAUCUGUGAGAUCUCAGGAUAUACCCUCGACACAUCCAAAUCUUUUGCAAAGUGAUUCAUCAACUGAGAAGGAUAGAGAUUCUUCUGAAAACAUGGAAUGUGGCUCUCCAGAUUUAGAAAUGAAUACAGACGUAUCUUUGCAAGAUGGAUGUUGGAUUUCACCUCCAGAUCACUCAUAUACUAGUAGUUCUGGAUGUACCACAGGGUUGACCCAGAAUAGUUCUUCUGGCUACUUAGAGAAAAUAAAUGCUCUCAUGGAUGUCAGGACUGAAAUAGAAGAUCCUGGUGCUACUGACCAGGAAACAAGAAACGGUAGCGAUAAUCAUUCUAUAUCAAGCAAUGUCGCAUUGACACAUGCUAGCAAUAUUCAUGAGGUUGAAACCCAAUUGGUGGAGGGAAGAAUUGAAAGUGACAAUAAUAGUGCAGCCUUCAAACAAGGUAGAGGACAAGAAUGCGAAAACAGUGAUCCUAAAUCCUAUGCAGAUUCUUCGAUUCGAGUAACCAGAGGUAAAAAUCCUUUUGCUCUGUCCAUCCUGAAGCAAGUGGAACAUAAGUUACAUGGAAGGGAUAUAGAUGGCACCAGGCCCUUGAAUAUUUCUGAGCAAGUUGACUAUCUUCUUAAACAAGCAACAAGUAUUGACAACUUAUGCAAUAUGUAUGAGGGAUGGACACCAUGGAUAUGAUUCAAAGACGUGACUUCCUUCAAUGUGCAUCGGCAAACGUUCCAGGCCUCCUUGUAUGUGGCUGCUAUGCAUUAUAACAUAUGGAGGAUAUUCGCAAGAUAAAACGGAAACUGGGAUGUAAGCGAGGGCAAACACCAUUGGAAGAGGUUGGGUAACAACGACUUAGUAAACAGCACUCGGUGAGUGAAGGAACUCCGCAGUGAUAGACUUAGCUAGGAAAAGCUAGACUUGAGAUAUCUUAGAAACUUAUCGGUUCUUGCUUAAUUAAAAGGAUGGUAAUGAUGUCUGCUUGAGCAGCAGUAUUUGGCUCUGGCUUCAACACUGUUACCAGGGUAACUGGUGACAUGUGACCUCCGGGUGGGACAGGGGAUUCUCGAUAGUGGCAAAAUCCUGAUAAAAAACCAUCAAAGCCUUCUUGUAUAUUGAUGAGCAACCCAUUCAUUCUUGCUGCGAGACAGCUGAGCAACUGUUCAUUGUCAGAAAGCUAGCAAAAUAAGUUUUAGCAACUUCCAUGUUUAAGUACCUAAAUGAAAGCUGCCAAUUUUGGGGAUGUGCCUAGUUAAUGUUGAAUUUGAGUUAGCCAAUUGUUAUUUACUGCAAGUGUAAGGACGACAUACUGAAUUGUUCUUCAAUUUCUUUGAAAGAUGUGUCAGUCUUAUAUAAUCCAAAAGGAGAACAGCAUCAUGGUUCAAAAACGUUACCAUACCAGGGUGCAGGAUUCUUGCCCAAUUAUAGAGUAAGCCGAGCUGUAAAACCUUUUCACCUACACUAUUCUUAGAAACCUGAAUGAGUGGUUAGUUAAAAACCUGAAAAAGGAUACAAUUUUUAAUCAUGUCCAGGAUCAGCUAAAGUUGAGACCUUGGUGAACAUCUCAUGUUCUGAUAUUCAUUUUUGUUUCCCUAGUUAGUAUGUGCCCUUCUGAGUUGAUUUCUCCCCUGUUUGUUGUUCAAUAUCAACCUUAACAUAUAGAAUAAUGUUUUUGGCUCUGCAUCACUCAGUUAAAUGAUACAUUGUUCCUCUACGUUCCUAUGGUUGUAUUGAUCGAUCUUGGGUUUACUUUUGACUAUACCAUUACUUUCUUUUAUUAUGAGCACAUGUCAGUUAUACUUAGCUACUGUUUCUCACAGAAAUGUUUGUAUUGCACCCCAUAAGGUAACCAUCACUUUUUUCAUGUGUUCAUGAUUUUUUUCUAGUGGAUUAAUUUCCUUUAAUACUCAUUUUUUCAAUUUUGAUGAAGGCUUUUUUCAAUAUUUGGAUUUAGCGCUCAUAUAUAUGCAAUUUUCCUAUAA